UGCAGGAGUGCUUAAAUGGAGAGCUUCUUCGAGUUGGUCUCAAGUUUGCUCCACUAGCUGGAUAUCACUGGUUUGAUGGAGAUGGGUAUAUAUAUUGACUUAAUUAUUCUAAAAACUUAUUUAAAUGAGUAUAUAUAUUGACGUCUUCAACAAGAAGAAUACUUUGGAGCUCCCAAAUUCAUGAAGAUUGGAGACCUGAAAGGGCAUUUUGGAUUACUCGCGGUGAUCAUGCAAAUUCUGAAAGCAAAGCUCAAAGUAUUAGAUCUUUCGUAUGGAAAUGGAACAGGUCUAUUGAGAUGCAUUUCUUUGGCGCAAUACUAGACAACAUUGACAGUUGAAGUUUUUAGAAUAAAAAAUAUAUUUCACUAACAUUGUAUACAUUUCUUGUUUAAUAUUUGGUGAUGAUAAAAUUUGAUUGUAGUAUAAACUAUCAUGUAAUAUGAUUUUGUAAGCCGAGUGGACUAAAUACUGAAAUGAUAUUUUUGAGUAAUUAAUAAAAAAUUAUUUUGUUGUA